GUAAUAUCUAAAGUUCAGACGUCAAAUCUCCAGUAUUUACUCGGCGAAGAGUGGAUUACAAAGCAUGAAGCUAAAGUGAGACAAUUUGCGGCGAAUUACGAGAGGCUAGCGUGGGCUCAGGUGUUCGCGUCAUUGCCGGAGAAUACAUCGGCCUCCAUCUCGCCGGAGGAAGCCAGGGAGAGUUUAAAACUAUUUAAUUCCAGUUUCGAAGCAGC
rnacentral:misc_RNA from 1 species